AAUGAACGUUGGCGGCGUGGAUUAGGCAUGCAAGUCGAGCGAGAAGCUUUAGAUUGACGCUUCGGUUGAUUUCUAAAGUGGAAAGCGGCGAAAGGGUGAGUAACGCGUAGUUACGUACCCCGGGGUCCGGAAUAGCUGCGGGAAACUGCAGGUAAUGCCGGAUGAUAUCUCUGGAUCAAAGGUGAGAUUCCGCCCUGGGAGCGGACUGCGUCCUACUAGCUUGUUGGUGGGGUAACGGCCUACCAAGGCAGCGAUGGGUAGCGGGCGUGAGAGCGUGGCCCGUCACACUGGGACUGAGACACUGCCCAGACACCUACGGGUGGCUGCAGUCGAGAAUCUUCGGCAAUGCGCGCAAGCGUGACCGAGCGACGCCGCGUGUGGGAUGAAGGCCUUCGGGUUGUAAACCACUGUCAGUUUGGGAGGAAGGCUCCGUGAAGAGCGGAGUUUGACCCAUCUUCAGAGGAAGGCCGGGCUAAGUUCGUGCCAGCCGCCGCGGUAAU
rnacentral:rRNA from 1 species